ensembl:lncRNA
CUGGGGUCCCGGGCCUCGGCGGCCUGCGGGUGAGCUGCCCUUCCUCUGGGAUCCCGGCGCAGGUGCUGCCCUCCACGGUGUUACGGUGCAUCAAGAAGUUCCUGACCAGAUGUUGAGCAGAUGCCUCUAGGGGCCCUCAAGCUUCUCAGCCUCCAGAAUUCGAGGGAGGCCAGUCCCUUCCUCCCUUCCUGCGAGGGAACCUGGUCCAUCUCUGCCUGACCUAUUGGGCCUAGCUGUGGAAGACUGAUGGUGCCUUGGGACACUGGCCCCUUCACCCAUCACAUCAAAAGAGCCCAGGAAAAAGAUCCACGUGUCAGAUUUGGCUGCCAUGGCAAUCAUUGCUGCUCCUAAAGAACUGGUGCUCUGGGAGUUCCAUGUCCACCAAGAAUGGUAGCGUCGACAAAGGCGUGGUCGACUGGGGCAUCACAGAGGCUCCUGUGCUGUGCCAACUUCCCAGCCAGCCCCCACUCCCCCCCAAAAACUUCAUCCCGGAUCAGCAGGAAGUAGAUAUGGAAGAAGAAACCACUGGCCCAAUUCCAUAACAAAAUAAAGGCUGGGAUGUUAGGUAUUUCAGAGCCCCCACAGAACAAGCCCCUCCUCUCCUUUCCCUUUUCCCCACUCUGGC